UUUAUAUAUUUUACCGUAUAUUUAAUAUAUUUAAAUAAGAAUUUAUGAAUUUUGGAAAUAAAUAUAUAAUUAACAUAUAUUUAUUUAUUACAUAUUAAUAUUUUCAACGAUUUACGAAAUCGAAAAUGAUUUUAGAAUUUUAAGUAGAAAAGAAUUUGAAUUACGAAAAUUGAUUGAAUUUAGAAAACGAUCCUAUUCAGUUUUGGAUUCGAAUCAUAAAAGCUAAAUCCUAAUUCUAGCCCACUUGGGAAAGCCCAAUAUUAAAACCCAAAACUCAAACCCUCCCUUUACUCUAAUUCACGUAAAACAAAAAUAAAAAAAUAAACAAAGCCAAAACCCCAUUUGAACUUCACGUGAAAACGCAAAAGAGAAAAAAAAAAAGAAGCAAAACCUAUCUCUCAUUCAAACUCACGUAAACUAGCAAACCCUCAAACCUUGGUACUCUCUGCCCAGCCGCCAGCCACCAUACACCCGCCGGACCUCCACCGUCCUCGUCACAGCCGCCCCAGCCGCCGACCACCUACCGCCGCCGCGACCGCCAGCUGCACGGUAACCUUCUUCUUCUCCUUCGUUCUUCUUCCUUUCUCUUUCGUUCGUUUCUUGCAGCUUCGCUACCCUUCUCACGAUCUUUUUCGCUCUUGCUCUCCUCGCUCGUUUUGGUUUUUGCGCAGCAGCAACCGAGUCGCGCCACCCUCUCCUUGCUGUCGCCGAGCAGUGCUGCCGCCUCCGGCCGCGCCUCACCGCCUGCCACCGUCGUCCUCUCUCGUCGGCGGAGAAUUCUCCUUAGGCGACUUUUGAAUUAUUAAAGUGGUCUUGCAGUUUGUUUACACAAGUCUCUAAGGAUCAAUAAGCGUUGCCCAUCUACAGGUUUGAAGAUGAUGCAUCAUUGGGAUCGGGAUUAGAGAGCUUGUAGUUAUAUUUGUUUUAUUAAGUGAUUUGGGUUGUUAACUUAUAUUUGAAAGUUGUCGUACUAUUCGUAUUUCCUUAUUUCCGUUAAUUGGUUUUGGACUUAGUAUGUAAUCGAUUAUUUAUGAACCUAAAAGUUAGUUUUAUGUUUUCCGCUGCAAAAUUCUGAAUAAGCCGUACGUUUUCAC